rnacentral:tRNA from 1 species
GGGCUCGUGGCGCAGAUAGGUAGCGCAGCAGGCUUUUAACCUGAUGGCCGCGGGUUCAAAUCCCGCCGAGCCCGCCA